GACGAACGCUGGCGGCGUGCCUAACACAUGCAAGUCGAACGGACUUGAAGGGGCUUGCUCCUUCAAGUUAGUGGCGGACGGGCGAGUAACGCGUGAGCAACCUGCCCUUCAGUGGGGAACGACAGUUGGAAACGACUGCUAAUACCGCAUAAUGUGCAUUGAUCGCAUGAUCGAAGCACCAAAGGAUUUAUUCGCUGAAGGAUGGGCUCGCGUCCGAUUAGCUAGUUGGUGAGGUAACGGCUCACCAAGGCGACGAUCGGUAGCCGGUCUGAGAGGAUGACCAGCCACACUGGAACUGAGACACGGUCCAG
rnacentral:rRNA from 1 species